GAUAAGCAUUGAUGAUGAUGACCUUGUGUCAAGACCCUGAAUACUUUGUGACGGUGUCUAAGUCACUACCUCAUCUGAGCUUGUG